GGCGGCCCAGGUACCGCCGCGCCCCGCCCCUUGCCCCGCCCCGCGCUCGAGUAGCCCCGCUUCCGGGCGGCCCCUGGCGGCGGAGGGGGCGCUGCGGCGCGGAGUCGCACGCGCGAGGGAAGGGGCUCGGCGACGGGCCCCGAAGACGCCCAGACCUUGGUGGCGCCGGCAGUGCCCGGGAGGACGCCCGGAGGUUCCCAAAUAACCCACAACCGCCGGAACCUCCAGAAAUGCUGGCGGGGUGCACUGUCCAGGGGAUACAACUUUCGAAAAGAUGACGAGAGAAGUAAACUCGAGACCCAAGGAGGAUGAAGGCAGGCUGUGUAUGACACCGCCACCCCGAACCCCGGAGCCAGAAUGGCUUGGAAGGACACUGCUGGAAGGAACGGCUCCCCUCUAUGGGGGCUUCACUCAUUCCCAGUACCCUGGAAUGGGACCAGGAUGACAGUUCUCAGAACCGAAGAGAAGCCAGGUGGCACCCGCAUAACCUGGACUUUGCAGGGUCUGGUGAUGCUCAAGUCUCAGGCAUAUACCCAGGCACUCCAAGAUCUGAGAUGAGGGGAGAACACGACAGUGCCCAGAGCCCCAGGGGGAGCAUAACAUUCCUCCGGCUCGGCGCCUUGGACUCGUCUGGCUUCCGGCCCCAUGGCUUGUGGAUGCUGCGGGUGCUCGAGAGGAUGACUUACCCUGUUAUCUCGCAACCCUCGCCCAGUUGUUGCCGCUGCACAUUUCAGCCUGGUCCGAUUGAAAACAGGAGGCAGUGUUGGAAUGGGAGAGAGAUUCAGAAGGUCACUGAGGCGGUCAGGGUGGGCUUGGGCUGUAGUGAGCACCGCCCAGUGACAGGCAUUGCACUAAAUGGCCCCAAGGACUUUGUGUAGUAGGGACCAACGUGUCCGUUUUACAGAUAGAGAAAAUGAGGCUCCUGUGGCUUGGGGGACUUGACCACAGCCACCAGUAAUGACAGUCCUGGGAUUUGAACCCAAGUUUCUCUAGAUCCUCAACACCCAAGCUCUCUUAGGCCCUUGUUCCUUCUUCAAAAGUAGAGGUUGUUUUCCUGAAGUGUGGUCAUCACUGGGAAGGAGUUCCUGCUCUCCUUCCCUAGUAACGCAGAGCCACCUGCCUGCCUGGGUUCAUGUCUUACCUGUAUGACUUUGAACUAGUCAUGUCACCACUGAGCCUCAUCAUUGUUAUAAAAUGACACUCCUGCCUGCCUUCCACUACUCAGAAAAAUGAAUUCUACCCACCAGAUGCCAGAUACUGUGCUAGGUAAUUUCGGGGUGUGCAAAAAGCAGAAGCGAUGGGUGAGUAAAUGAGAUAUUGUAUGAACAGGCUAUUAAACUCCAAAGCCCUUUAGUAAUAUAUGAAACGGGCUCUGGGACUUCCUUGGCAGUCUAGUGAUCAAGACUCUGUGCUUCUGUGGCAGGGAAUGCAGGUUUCAUCCCUAGCUGGGAAACAGAGAUUCCUGAAUGCCCCUUGGUGUAAUAUUCAUUGGAAGGACCGAUGCUGAAGCUGAAACAACAAUACUUUGGCCACCUGCGAAGAACUAACUCAUUUGAAAAGACCCUGAUCUGGGAAAGAUUGAAGGCAGGAGGAGAAGGGGAC
ensembl:lncRNA